CAAAAGCAUAAUCACAGAUGUCUCUGUCUCAUCAGUGUGUUCACCAUUUCAUAGACACUUUACACAUUCUGCCUUUCACAGCCCUGAGCCACUUUUCCCUAGUACAAGUUCAUUUAUUCAUAAAAUUGCUAUUAAUGUUAUUGAAUGUAGAACUCUCUAGAUCUCACAGUGUGAUACUUUGAAUUGUCCUCAUUUUGUGUAUGUCGUAUGUAGCUGCCUCUCCACACACUUGCCUAGUGUGGCAUCUGCUGGAGUGGCCAUGACAGCCUGUGGAGAGUAAAAUGCUAAUUAAAUGACUGAAUGUUCAAUUGCAGAGAUGGAUUUUACAAAUCCAUCUGAGUUUGUUGGUGGUAGUUCCUAAUGAAAGAGAUUGAUUUUACAUAUUCUUUAUAUCACACACCUAAACUUUUUUUUUUUCCACUUAGAGAGAAACUCCAAGAACAACACCCAGAUGGAAAUUUUGGAGCAAUGUGGUUGUUUUUUGGCUGCAGGCAUAAGGAUAAGGAUUAUCUAUUCAGAAAAGAGCUCAGACAUUUCUUUAAGCAUGGGAUCUU
rnacentral:sRNA from 1 species